UUAGCACUUGUGUUAAAUAAUUUAGUGGCGAACGGGUGAGUAACACGUAAGAACUUACCCCUAGACGAGGUACAACAGUUGGAAACGACUGCUAAUACCUCAUAUUACCGGAAGGUGAAAGAAGCAAUUCGUCUAGGGCGAGGCUUGCGUCUGAUUAGCUUGUUGGUGAGGUAAAGGCUUACCAAGGCGACGAUCAGUAGUUGGUCUUAGAGGAUGAUCAGCCACAUUGGGACUGAGACACGGCCCAAACUUUUACGGGAGGCAGCAGUAAGGAAUUUUCCGCAAUGGGCGCAAGCCUGACGGAGCAAUACCGCGUGAAGGAUGACGGCCCAUGGGUUGUAAACUUCUUUUCUUGGAGAAGAAUUCUGACGGUAUCCAAGGAAUAAGCAUCGGCUAACUCCGUGCCAGCAGCCGCGGUAAGACGGGGGAUGCAAGCGUUAUUCGGAAUUAUUGGGCGUAAAGCGUCUGUAGGUGGUAAGGAAAGUGUAAUGUUAAAGAUCAGGGCUCAACCCUGGGAAAGCAUUGCAAACUAUCUUACUUGAGUUCGGUAGGGGCAGAGAGAAUUCCCAGUGUAGCGGUGAAAUGCGUAGAUAUUGGGAGGAAGACCGGUGGCGAAGGCGUUCUGCUGGGCCGUAACUGACACUCAGAGACGAAAGCUAAGGUAGCAAAUAGGAUUAGAUA
rnacentral:rRNA from 1 species